CCUACGGGCGGCAGCAGUGGGGAAUAUUGCACAAUGGGGGAAACCCUGAUGCAGCGACGCCGCGUGAGUGAGGAAGUAUUUCGGUAUGUAAAGCUCUAUCAGCAGGGAAGAAAAUGACGGUACCUGACUAAGAAGCCCCGGCUAACUACGUGCCAGCAGCCGCGGUAAUACGUAGGGGGCAAGCGUUAUCCGGAUUUACUGGGUGUAAAGGGAGCGUAGACGGCUAAUCAAGUCAGAAGUGAAAACCCAGGGCUCAACCUUGGGAGUGCUUUUGAAACUGAGUAGCUAGAGUGCAGGAGAGGUAAGCGGAAUUCCUAGUGUAGCGGUGAAAUGCGUAGAUAUUAGGAGGAACACCAGUGGCGAAGGCGACUAUCUGGCACAUAACUGACGCUGAGGAGCGAAAGCGUGGGUAGCAAACAGGAUUAGAUACCCGAGUAGUC
rnacentral:rRNA from 1 species